UUGGUUUUAGGUCUUUGGAAAGUUCUUCUCAGAAGGGCAGAGAAGACUCUUCCUCCGGACGGCAGUGCUGGCUAUCCACAACCCCCUGCUGCGUGUCAGCCAGGCUGGUCUGGUCCUGGCCUACUCCCUCCUGGGGGAAGCCCAAGAGCUGAUAGGGGACAAGCAGGAGGAUGUCACUGCCAAAGUGAUGCACCAGCUCCGCAUCAUCCGGCACUUGCGCCAGGUGCCUGAGGCACUGCAGGGGCUGUGCCUCUGAGGCCAUCAGCAACUCACGCUCCCUGCUGCAGCAGGAGGACGUCACGGCCAAAGUGAUGCACCAGCUCCGCAUCAUCCGGCACUUGCGCCAGGUGCCUGAGGCACUGCAGGGGCUCUGCCUCUGAGGCCAUCAGCAACUCCUGCUCCCUGCUGCAGGUACUGCUCUGGCUCACUGUAAAUGGGAAGGUAGUGGAAGGGGAAAUGGAGCCCCCUGGCACUCACUAAAAGGGAAAGUGGUGGAUUCUCCAUCUCUUGAUGUCAUUGAAUGAAGACUAGAUGCCUUUCUGGAAUGUGUGUGCCCAAAAAGUAACUAUUGUACUAUACAGGAAGCCCGUG